AUUAACUAGAUUUAUUGCUUUAUUAGAAGUUAGAAGCUU
rnacentral:tRNA from 1 species